rnacentral:rRNA from 1 species
UACGUAGGGGGCAAGCGUUGUCCGGAAUCAUUGGGCGUAAAGAGCGUGUAGGCGGUCCGGCAAGUCCGCUGUGAAAGUCGGGGGCUCAACCCUCGAAUGCCGGUGGAUACUGUCGGGCUAGAGUGCGGAAGAGGCGAGUGGAAUUCCUGGUGUAGCGGUGAAAUGCGCAGAUAUCAGGAGGAACACCGAUGGCGAAGGCAGGUCUCUGGGCCGAUACUGACGCUGAGGAGCGAAAGCGUGGGGAGCGAACAGG